GACGAACGCUGACGGCGCGCUUAACACAUGCAAGUCGAGCGAGAACCAGUCCUUCGGGACUGGGGAAAGCGGCGAACGGGUGAGUAACACGUGGGUAAUCUGCCCUCGGCACUGGGAUAGCCCGGGGAAACCCGGAUUAAUACCGGAUAGCCUUUCGAGCCUUUGGGCCCGUCAGAAAAGGUGGCUUCGGCUUCCGGCUGAGGAUGAGCCCGCGGCGGAUUAGCUUGUUGGUGGGGUAAUGGCCUACCAAGGCGACGAUCCGUAGCUGGUCUGAGAGGACGAUCAGCCACACUGGGACUGAGACACGGCCCAGACUCCUACGGGAGGCAGCAGAGGGGAAUCUUGCGCAAUGGGCGAAAGCCUGACGCAGCGACGCCGCGUGCGGGAAGAAGGCCUUCGGGUUGUAAACCGCUUUCAGGAGGGACGAAGCCACUCGGGUUAAUAGCCCAGAGGGUGACGGUACCUCCAGAAGAAGCCCCGGCUAACUACGUGCCAGCAGCCGCCGUAAUAC
rnacentral:rRNA from 1 species